rnacentral:rRNA from 1 species
AACGAACGCUGGCGGCGUGCUUAACACAUGCAAGUCGAGCGAGAAAGGGAGCUUCGGCUCCUGAGUAAAGCGGCGCACGGGUGAGUAACACGUGGGUAACCUGCCUUUCAGUGGGGGAUAACAGUUCGAAAGGGCUGCUAAUACCGCAUUCGUCCACACGGUCACAUGUCUGUGUGGAGAAAGAGGCGCAAGUCUCGCUGGAAGAUGGGCCCGCGGUCCAUUAGCUAGUUGGUGGGUAAGGCCUACCAAGGCUUCGAUGGAUAGCUGGUCUGAGAGGAUGAUCAGCCACACUGGAACUGAGACACGGUCCAGACUCCUACGGGAGGCAGCAGUGGGGAAUAUUGCGCAAUGGCGAAAGCCUGACGCAGCAACGCCGCGUGUGUGAUGAAGGCCUCGGUG